AAGUGGGGCAGGUUGGGUGAAGAUAGUGACUUUAGUUUAGGACUCAUUGGGUUGGAGGUUCUGCUGACAGUGGAUUAAAGAUACUGUAUGUGUGGGUCAGAAAACAGUUUCCUGUUGCGGACUGAGUCAUCUACAUAAAGGCUAGGAAGAGGGCUGGAGGUAAUUAGUGUUGAAUAUUUAUUUCUCUCCUAGGAUUCUCCAGUAUUAAAAGCUGCUUAGACCCAGCACUGAGUCUCCUCUUUGUAGACCUCUGUUCCCUAGAGGAGCAGAGAGAGAUGAGAGAGGG